AUCCGCACAUCUCCCACUCUAACCCUUCCCCACUCUAAGCAACUAUCCCUAAAACCCUCGUUCCUCUUGUUUUGGAAAACAGAAAUUGUCAAGGCACUUGUGUUAUGGGCAUCAACGUACAAACAGACAAGUGUAAUAAUCAUGAGGUUAGAAUUUAUGACUCCUUCAUAGUUGUAGAAACAGAAGGUGGCAGUCCUGCAAGAUCAAGAGGGUAACAUGGCAAUCUUGCUGGAUCAGGAGGUGGUGUCACCAGGGUACAAAUACAAUCGGCUAAUGUCUUUCAAUUCGCCAUCGGAACCUGGUAUUAGAAAAGCAUUGGAGCAGUUAUGAGUUUUGAUUUCUCUUCACUGUCCGCUGAUGGUUACCAUCCCUAUCCAGACUCACAUUAGCUAGUUUUUUUAGAACUUUAUUAUUCUGUGUUGUAAAAGAGUUAUGUACU